rnacentral:rRNA from 1 species
CAGCCGCCACGGUAAUACGAAGGGGGCUAGCGUUGCUCGGAAUUACUGGGCGUAAAGGGCGCGUAGGCGGCGCUCCAAGUUAGGCGUGAAAUUCCCGGGCUCAACCUGGGGACUGCGCUUAAGACUGGAGUGCUUGAGGAUGGAAGAGGGUUGUGGAAUUCCCAGUGUAGAGGUGAAAUUCGUAGAUAUUGGGGAGAACACCGGUGGCGAAGGCGGCAACCUGGUCCAUUACUGACGCUGAGGCGCGAUAGCGUGGGGAGCAAACAGGAUUAGAGACCCCAGUAGUCCCUGUCUCUUAUAC